rnacentral:rRNA from 1 species
UACAGAGGGUGCAAGCGUUAAUCGGAGUGACUGGGCGUAAAGGGCGCGUAGGCGGUUAUAUUAGUCUGAUGUGAAAGGCUUGGGCUUAACCUGGGAAUUGCAUUGGAAACGGUAUAGCUAGAGUUUGAGAGAGGGAAGUGGAAUUUCCGGUGUAGCGGUGAAAUGCGUAGAGAUCGGAAAGAACACUCGUGGCGAAGGCGACUUUCUGGCUCAAAACUGACGCUGAGGCGCGAAAGCGUGGGGAGCAAACAGG